GGUGCUGCAUGGCUGUCGUCAGCUCGUGUCGUGAGAUGUUGGGUUAAGUCCCGCAACGAGCGCAACCCUUGUCAUUAGUUGCUACGAAAGGGCACUCUAAUGAGACUGCCGGUGACAAACCGGAGGAAGGUGGGGAUGACGUCAAGUCCUCAUGGCCCUUAUGGGUAGGGCUUCACACGUCAUACAAUGGUCGGGACAGAGGGUCGCCAACCCGCGAGGGGGAGCCAAUCCCAGAAACCCGAUCGUAGUCCGGAUCGCAGUCUGCAACUCGACUGCGUGAAGUCGGAAUCGCUAGUAAUCGCGGAUCAGCAUGUCGCGGUGAAUACGUUCCCGGGUCUUGUACACACCGCCCGUCACACCAUGGGAGUGGGUUUUACCAGAAGUAGUUAGCCUAACCGCAAGGGGGGCGAUUACCACGGUAGGAUUCAUGACUGGGGUGAAGUCGUAACAAGGUAGCCGUAUCGGAAGGUGCGGCUGGAUCACCUCCUUUC
rnacentral:rRNA from 1 species